UGUGAACUCCCAUCUCUUUUUUUAUGAUCAUGAUCUCACUGCAAUGAUUUCCAGUAAACUCAUUCGAUCUUCUUUUAAGUCAAAGUAGUAUUCUGGGAAUUUUUACCGUAAUAAGGUAUUACACUGAAAAAAAUGGACUUGGUGGGUCUUUGAAUUUAAAUAAAAUAAACAUGUAUAUGCAACACAAAAUAUUUAUAUUCCUUGUGUAAACAUAAUUUAAUUGAUUAGGAUUAAAAUGUUUUGUUUGAAUGUAAAAUGAACACAUUAUUCUCACAUUGAUUAAAAUUGAUUGAAUUGAAUACUUAAAGCAAUAAAAUUGAGUUUGCACACAAAAUGGCACCUCCUGAGCAGAAGGUGGCAGUACAGCUCAAUGAAAAGGACGUCAAUUGCCAUAAAAGGAGAAUCAAUAUCGUUUGUUUUGGGCGCCAAAAUGAAGACUCAGCAGCAGUCAGUCAGAAGAACUCUCUCAGACGGACACCACGUUAUUAAAGUCCAUCAUCCUUGCACACACUCAAAAGCAUUGAUAAAUGCUGAAUUUAAAAGAAUCACUACUGUCUUAUGUUCCUGCGUGUCACCUGGACCUCCAAUCCAAAAACCUGACGAAACUCUUCUAUCAGAAAGGAGGACAGCUAGCAAAAAGGCUUGGAACAAUUAAUGAUCAAAUGACAGAAGGCAUGGAUGAAGUCAGCAUCAGUGAGGUCAUUUGAAGACACCAAUGUUGGGAUUUGUGCUCUCAAACAACAUCCUUCUUGUGAUGAAGAAGAGGAUCUUUGUAUAGUCCUGGAAGCCAUGAAGGUGUUGCAACAUCGUGCCAUGUUGUUUGAGCUGAUGUAUGCCUUAAACCUGAGCUAUCCUGAUCUCCGCUUUAUUUUUGAGGAAAUCCAAAAGAUUUUAAUGGAACUGCAUUGAGCGUAACUUUAACAAACAGUUUCUUUCAGUGAAAGGAUCAGAAAGACUGCUGCUCAUUUUUGACUUUGUUUAUCUGUUUUAAGUGUUUUCUCUUAUUAAAACAUUAACAGUUGCUCAGAGUUGAUUUUGGAAAUGGUUGUUGUAUUUUGUUUUUGUUGAAUCUUUGAUUAUCAGUUUAUACAAAUGCUGUAGCUCUGACUUUCUGAAGGAUUGAUAUUUUCCAGUUUGUAAAUCCAUUUAAAAAAUAAUAGUACUUACUGUUUUGCAUGUCUCUUUGGAAUGCAAGUGUUUGUGUUUUAGCACUUCUAAAUCUACUGUGAUAGUAACUAUUUUAAACAUUUGGGUCAGUUUUACAGAUGGGGCUUUUUCUAGUCCCAGACUUUUGCAAUGCCUUAAUUUGAAAACAUAUUGCACUGACAUAUCUUGACAUAUAUCAGUGCCAUUGUUUUGUCUCAAGAUGUACUCCAGUGUUGUUUUUGUAAGGUAGGUUUGUUUGUAAACUUUUUUUUGUAAAAAAUAUUCUAAUAUAACUAGGGCCUAGUCAUGGAUUAAUCUACAACCUGUUUGGGAAAUUGCCCCUUUGUAUGUACUGCAUGUGCUGAUUGUUGUAAUAGUUAUUGACUGUUAAUGAAUUAAUGUGUAGUGAUUUAAAUGAAUUGAUGAUCUGAAAGCAGUGGUUUGCCUCAAUAUCACUAAACAUUUGUUCAAAACUCUUUGCUUUUUAUG